AACGCACAUUGCGCCCAUUAGUAUUCUAUUGGGCAUGCCUGUUCGAGCGUCAUUUCAACCCUUAAGCUCAGCUUAGUGUUGGGAAUCUACCGUGAGCGGUGUUACCCGGUACCUACCCUAUAACGGGGCUAGGUUACCCUGUAGCUACCCUGUAGUUCCUCAAAUUCAACGGCGGAGUCAUAGUCAUCUCUGAGCGCAGUAAUUUUUAUCACGCUUUUGAAAAUGUUAUAACUUUAGCCGCUAAACCCCCAAUGUUUUUAAUGGUUGACCUCGGAUCAGGUAGGAAUACCCGCUGAACUUAA
rnacentral:misc_RNA from 1 species